GACGAACGCUGGCGGCGUGCUUAACACAUGCAAGUCGAACGGAAAGGCCCUGCUUGCAGGGUCCUCGAGUGGCGAACGGGUGAGUAACACGUGGGUGAUCUGCCCUGCACUUCGGGAUAAGCCUGGGAAACUGGGUCUAAUACCGGAUAGGAGCCAUUUUUAGUGUGAUGGUUGGAAAGUUUUUUCGGUGUAGGAUGAUCUCGCGGCCUAUUAGCUUGUUGGUGGGGUAAUGGCCUACCAAGGCGGCGACGGGUAGCCGGCCUGAGAGGGUGGACGGCCACAUGGGGACUGAGAUACGGCCCAGACGCCUACGGGAGGCAGAAGUGGGGAAUAUUGCGCAAUGGGGGCAAGCCUGAUGCAGCGACGCCGCGUGGGGGAUGACGGCCUUCGGGUUGUAAACUCCUGUCGCUGGGGACGAAGCUUUUGUGACGGUACCUAGAUAAGAAGCACCGGCUAACUACGUG
rnacentral:rRNA from 1 species